GCGCAGACAGAGGAGAGAGUUUGUAGCAAUCAGGAGGCUCAAACGAGCGUGGAAGUGGAGAAUCUGGGGGCGCAGACGGGUCCGUCACUGUGUAGGGAGGAGAGUGAGGUGCGGCCCCAGAGCAGAGCCCCCGCGGGAGAGCUGCUUCCCAGUCGAGCCGCUUCCCAGUCGAGCCCCUCCCGCCGGGUUACCCCUGGGACGAGUUGCAGAGGAAGCGGUCGGGGAAUGCCGAGCGGGCGGAGUCGGGCGAGGGUGCGGCGCAGGAUGAUCAGGGGAGAGUGGGGAGGCGCGACCCCGUGUUAGACUGGGAACCAUCAGGCUCGCGAGGGGAGACAAAGAAAAAGAAAACGCAGGAGAAAUUAAUACCGACUGCGCCGCCGGGGCGGGCGGUGCCGAAAAAGGAAAAAAAUCAGCUGCGCCACGACUCACCAAAGAUGGCGCCUGAAGGAGAAGGGGACAGAGUACGUGGAGGUGUCCGGACAUCGCUGCUGAUGGGAGGUACAGAAUAACAGUUUUAUUUGCUUUUGCUUCGCAUCUCGCGAACGCGGCUUCUUUAUUAAACUGCCUUUAUCUCAAAAAAAAAAAAAGUUCUCCUCUACACAAGAUUUUUUACAAAGACAAGGAGGCGAAAAGGACCCAGCGCAGCCGAGAGCAAACACAGAGCGAGCCCGACGCCCGCCGAGACUAGCAGGCCCAGCACGCAGUGAGCCAGACCUCCCCGCCCCUUCCAUCCGCAGCCGCUUCCCGUGGCCAUUUUCUCCGGAGUGCCCUCCCCACCCCGCGCGCCGACACCACCGGACCCAGCCCUCACGGACCGCAGGGCUCAUCCUUUCCAUCCUCAAUCCGUUGCCUCAAGGAUUAUAAAAACUGUUGGCCGCGAUGUCAUGCAGUUUGCUAUAAAUGUGAUGAUGAAUAGUGGUUUUCUUACAGUGGAAACUUUCUAAGGUGUUUUAGGUGUCAGGAAUGGAACUUGGAAGAACAGAACAUUUUGGCAUUGAGAAGUCAGUGACACAUUAAAAAAAAAAAAGUGUAUAAAAAGAAGCUUACCAGGCAUGAAUUGCUCAAAAAUAAAAAGGGGGAAUUGUGGAGGAAUUUCUGUGUGAAAGAGGCCACGGCCUGGUAACAGUGAACAAACCAUGCUGUGAGAACUAAUGUGCGGAUUGUCCUUGAGCUGCUCUCGACUGUGAGAAAAGAAGAAAGAAUGCCUACAUGAUAACAAGCUCGAGCAAGGAGGAGGCUGAAGCAGUAUGUGAAACCGUAAGGCUUAUUGCACAAAGCGCAGCUGGCUUUUAGAGAAAGGACCAAUUAGAAGUAGUGUAAACAUGCUAGCUUUGCUGCUGAUUAUAAAAGUCUGAUGCUUGUUAGUAAAUUUUGAGUUAUGACUUAAAAAAAAAAAAUUGCCUCUUACAUUAAAGGAAAGGGUGCGAUAACUGGGGUUGUUUAGUCUAGAGAGGAGGAGACUGAGGAGAGAUCUUACUAACAUUUACAUAUAUCUAAAUGGUGGAUGUCAGGAGGUUGGAACACCCUUUUUUCUGUUGUAGGACAAAGGGUGGUGGGAUGAAGCUGGAACACAAAAAGUUCCACCUAAAUAAAUAAAAAUAAUACUAAUAAAAAAACCCCAAAAACCCACAAGAAACAAAACCUGUUUUACUGUGAAGGUGAUGGAGCAGUGGAACAGGCUGCCCAGGGGGAUAUUGUGGAGCCUCGUCCCUUGGAGGUCAUCAGGACCCACCUGGGCAUGUUCCUAUGUGACCUGGUCUAGGUGAACCUGCUUCUGGGGGGGGGGGAGGUUGGACAGGGUGAUCUCUGGGGGUCCCUUCCAACCCCUAACAUUCUAACAUUCUAUGAUUCUGUGAUUUAAUGACUGAUGGGGGCAGAUAUGAAUGGGCUCCCCUAGAAACAAAGGUAUUGAAGGAGCUGCAUGGGACUAUAAAGACACAUGCUUUACAGAUGCCUCAUCAAAGACCAACGCAGUGGCAGUGGUGUGGAAACAGGGAGACAAAUGGGAGAAAAUCUUGCAUACUGAUGCCACAAAACCGGUGCAAUAUCUGGAGGCCAAGGCUGUCGCCCUUGCCCUGGAGGCAUGGCAUUCAAUGCCGCUCAAUAUCAUCACGGACUUGAGAUUCAUCACUGAACUAGUUUGACAAUGUGCACGAGCCAUUUGUGCCUCCACCAGUACAGCAGACCUCAUAUUGAAUGCCUUACAAACUCGUGCUGCCCCCUGCUCUAUUGUACACAUCAACAGUCACACCAAUAUUCUGGGGACUCUUAACGAGAUAACCAAAAGGCAGAUGAAGCAGCGACACAUUGUCAUGGUUUGACAUGAUAGCCUUUUCUUGUAAAGGGGAAGGGGCUGUAAAGAUGGCUCCUGUAAGAAGUUGCUCGCAACUCUCCCCAGCUCUGAGCCAGACCCACUUCUGGGGCUGAGCCAAUUAGACACCUCCACAAUCACUUUUUAAGAAGAAGCUAGAAGAGGAGGCUUCUUCCUGUUUUCUUCUUUCUUCUUUCCCUUCUUCCUCUGCUGCUCGUGGUGGUGCAAGGAGUAGGAACAGUGAGAGAAACAACCAUGCGGACUCCAAGGUCAGUGAUGAAAGAGAGGAGGAGGUGUGCUGGAGAGACUCCCCUGCAUUCUAUGGAGAGAACUGGUGAAGCUGAGAUUUAUUUUCAUUUCUUUAAAGACCCCGCAUCGGCGGUAGAGACUCAUUUUGAUAAUAAGCCCGCAUCAGGGGCAGAGACUCAUUUUGCUAAAGCUUGCCCCGGACCAGGGGCAGUGACUAUGGCCAGAGGAGGCCGUGUCCUGUGAGAGGGACCCAACCACUUCAUUGCAGACCCUGAGACAGGGGCAGUGAUUUUCUUCUCUAAAACUAUGGCCGGAAGAGGCCGUGUCCCGAAGAAGGGACCCGAUAUCCACAGCUGUAACUGUGGGAAGGAACCCACGACAAAGCAGCUCAUUAAACUUAUGCCUAGAAGAGGCCUGAGAGAGGGACCUUGUAACUGCAGAAACUGCAACCGCGGUGAAGAAUCCACGCCAGAGAUAUUCACCAAGGACUGCUUCCUGUGUGAGGGAACCUGUAUCGGCAGAAGCCGCAGCUGUUGGGAACAACCCACACCAGAGAAGUUCGUUAAGGACUGUGUUCCGGGGGAGGAACCCCGUGUUGAAGCAGGGGAAGAAUGCCAGGAGUCGUCCUCAUCUGAGAAGACAGAAGCGGCAGAGCCCAUCUGUGAAAGACUGACCACAUCCCCCAUUCCCUGCCCCCCGCCGAGCCGUUGUAGGGGGAGGAGGUAGAGAUACCAGGAGCAGUGAGCUGGGCCCGGGAAGAAAGGAGGGAUGGGGGAGGGAGAUCUUAAAGUGCUGGUUGUAAUUUUCUCAUCAUCCUACUCCCUUUUUGCUAUUAUUCCCUUCUGUUUCUUGUAGAAUAAACUUUCCUACUUUCCUCUCUAAGUCGAGUACUGUUUUGCCUGAAACCAUAAUUGGCAGUGAGCCCUCCCUGCCCUUGUCCUUUUUCCUCCCAUUUCGCUGGGUCCUCCACUAUCCUAACAAGGGUGGGAGUGAAUGGGGUCACCGAGCGAGAGACUGUUGUGGUGCUGCUAUUCUUGCUGGGCCAAACCACGACACACAUGUAUGACCUAUCUCCACCCAAGAGGAUUUCCCAGCGGCCAGACAGCUGCAGACCUUUUUGCAUUGUGGAGCACAGGCUCUACAUCAUCAGACCAAGAUCCCUCUCCAAGUGACAAAGCAGAUAGUUGCUACUUGCCCUCAAUGUGCUUCAGUGCUACCAUGGGAAGCCAGAGUUAACCCCCGAGAGUUGCUCCCGAAUCAGAUCUGGCAAACGGAUAUCACAAUUUAUGAGCCCUUUCGUUCCAACCAUCACCUCCAUGUCACCAUUGACACUUGCAGUGGCUACAUACUAGUUACCCUCAUGCGCUGAGCCACAGCGCACCACAGGAUCAGGCACUGGCUACAAUGUAUAGCCAUCCUAGGGUGUCCUGAACAAAUCAAAACUGACAAUGGGACUUGUUACACCUUCCAUGUGACACAGGAAUUCUGUCAAACCUGGCAGAUUAAAUUGGUGCACAGUAUCCCUCACAAUAGCCAGGGACAGACGAUUGUUGAAUAUACUCAUGCUACUUUAAAAGUACAGCUCAACCAUUUUAGGGAGGGGGAGAGUAUGGGACAUAGAACUCCCCCCAUAGGCAACACGAUAUUUUAAUGCGCUGUCUGUACAUCCUUAACCAUUUUGUUCGAGGGUCAGGACCCAUACCAGCGCAAGCACACUUUAGGGAGCAAGAACCAGUAGCAGUAGAUAAAUUACCAGCAGUCAAAUUGCGGCAAAUCGACACUCGGAAGUGGGAGUCAGGGUGGAAGCUCAGAUGCCUGGGCGGAGGGUAUGCUUCUGUAGAAAAGGAGGGAACCCAGCAGUGGGUCCUGGAAAAACGAAUACAACCAGAGAUAUGAGUCUAACGGUUUGUUGAGUUUAUUUUGCAGGUUGACGUGUUCUUCGGAGCGCUCACUGCGAUGCAGAUUCAGCUGGGGUCACUCAACUAUUGACGAGAUUGGGCAGUGAAGUGGAACAUGACCAGCACCUGUUUAUAUCUUCCCGCAAUUGACUCAGCUAGCAUGUGUCCUGGGCAGACAUGUUAUGUAUCAGUCUGUGCCACAGGAUGCUGGAGUCAUCAAGCUUAGGGAGGGUGAGACGUUGUAGGUGUCCGGAAGAUCUCGGGUUGUAAUGCGAGAGGUGGACGGUACAGAAGAGGCGGGCAUGGGUUGGACUGAAAGGAGAUGCUUGUGUUAGCAGAUAAAAGCACAUGGUGUAAACAAUUAGUUGGAAUAAAGCACCAUCCAUACUGUG